GGCCUCGUAGCUCAGUUGGCUAGAGCGUUGGCUGUACUAAAGCCUUCACCUUGCUGGCGUGGGUUCGAAUCCCACAGAUGCCG
rfam:Schistocephalus solidus strain NST_G2 genome assembly, scaffold: SSLN_scaffold0001304